rnacentral:rRNA from 1 species
UACCGGCAGCUCGAGUGAUGACCGAUUUUAUUGGGCCUAAAGCGUCCGUAGCUGGCCGCGUAGGUUCGUCGGGAAAUCCAUCCGCUCAACGGAUGGGCGUCCGGCGAAAACCACGUGGCUUGGGACCGGAAGGCUCGAGGGGUACGUCCGGGGUAGGAGUGAAAUCCCGUAAUCCUGGACGGACCGCCGAUGGCGAAAGCACCUCGAGAAGACGGAUCCGACAGUGAGGGACGAAAGCUGGGGUCUCGAACCGGAUUAGAUACCCGGGUAGUCCCAGCCGUAAACAAUGCCAAUUAGGUGUGGCACCGACUACGAGUCGGUGCUGUGCCGUAGGGAAGCCGAUAAAUUGGCCGCCUGGGAAGUACGUCCGCAAGGAUGAAACUUAAAGGAAUUGGCGGGGGAGCACUACAACCGGAGGAGCCUGCGGUUU